ensembl:lncRNA
CUUUUAUUGAUAGCUUGUAUAGUUUGUGUUUCUUCCAAGUUGCCCUCCUCCAUGCUCUUGUCUCUGUUAAUCUAUCUUCUCUGUUAGAGACACUUCUCACACAUUUAGUGGUAUUUCUUUGUGAUGAACUCAAAAUUAUUCAGAAGCUUUAAGCAUGUGGUGGGGCCUUCUCACUUUCAGUUUUGUGUCAGUAUAUUCUGGAAGGGCCAUUUGUUUUGGAAUCCCAUGCUGGUAUCUUCAGUCUUUUAGGGCAAUCAGAUUCUCCAAGAACAUUGUGAUAGUCUCUUUCCUAUAGGAUAAAAGUCUGAAUACCCUAUCUCUGGCAGCUCAGUGUAUGGGGAGCAGGUAGGAUAGCUGGACUGGAUGUUCAGUGACUAAAUCCACCUCUUUUUAGUACACUUGGCUAGGCUGACCUCAGGUUUUUCCAGAGAAAGGCCCUCCAGUCUUCUGUCAGGGUAGGGGAGAGGGAGCCACUUAAAGGCGUGGCCUUGAGGCUCUCUCAUUGUACAAGGGCUGCCUCUUUCACUGUCAUUGUCCUUGGGCCUCCACUUUAUCUACCUGUGGUUCCAUCUGCAUUUAGUGCUGCUGGUUCUGAGCCUUCUACACAUCCUGCUGUGGAAAUAGAAUUGGUACUCUGUAUUUUCUGCAGCUGACCUAGGGUCUGGCUGUCUAGGACCUGCUGAGUCAUUUACUGUGCUUAGAUCUUUUAUUGUUUCUCUUUCAGGUUUUUUUCUUUUUUACUAUUUGUUUUGUUUUUGUCUGUGCUAGACCUUUUCUCCAAGUUUCACAAAUUUUAACAUUUUCCCUGCUUUGAGUUCUCCUUGGCCUGUGUAUUUAGCUUAAAAAUUAAAAAAAAAUAUCCCUUUAGUAUAAUUUUAGUGGGAAGGAAUGAAAUAGCUCUGUAUAUUCUGAUUGCCAUCUUACGCUGAACUUAUUAGCUAACUUAUGCUUAUUGAUGUUUUAAUAGUUUUCAGUUAUUUCAUGUCCUUUUUCUUCAAGAAGAAUGUGGGUUUGAGAACAAGGUCUUGAUACAUUUUUUAUUCUUCAAGGUCUAGCAGUUUGCAUGGUAGGCAUAUAGGACUGUAAGAUGGUGAACACAGGAGAACUUGGUAAAAGCAGGUGGUUAUGUAUAUAUACAUCUUGUCUCUUUCAGGUUCUUGGACUACAAUGGAAAGUAGAAAGAGACACUAGAAGUAUUUUAAGUUGUCAUUAGAUUUCUUCGGAGUUACUGUUGCCUUUUGAGCUAUAUAUCAUUUCUUGGCUUCCAUGCUUUAGUUUCAUUGAAGUCUCCAAGGAAAUAGAACUCAUUAGCUUACCAUCUUGAACCUGAAACCACUGAGGAUUUUGAGAGGUGUGAGAUAUGAUAUAUUGGUUUUUCAUGUGGAGAUUUGAAGAGGUAGGGAGGGGCAUGUUGGUUUGUUGCGUGAGGAUUUCAGGGGAGGUGAGGGUAUGCUGGUUUGUCAUGUUAGGAUUUUAGGAGGUGGGAGAUAUGUUGGUUUGCCAUGUGAAGAUUUUAGGUGGUGGGGGUGGUUUCUUGUGUGGCUUAGGAGAAAACGUCAUAGUUUUAGAGUCAUUUAUGCCUGAGGUCAAAACCUUGGCACUUGCAUUGUUAGCUGUGGGACUUUGGGCAAAGCAUUUUACUUUUUUCUGUUUGUCAGUUUCAUCAUUUUUCCCCAAAUAAUUCAUUGAGUCCCUGCUGUAUUUGUGGAAGAAGAUGGAAGAUAGUCCAUAUAGCUUUUACAUAAUGUUAUCUGUGUUUCUCUGAAGCAGGGCUUGAGGCUGUCCGUCAGACUGAACCGAGAAGGCAUCACUGGGUGUGAAGAUGUGCUGAGGGAGUUUGGAGUGGUAAAGUAGAGGAGAAUAAUUGAGGUAAUGAGAUUUUUGUCUAGUGCUAGCCCUCAGCAUCUCAGGUGUAGUCUGGAAGUAGUCCGAGUAUUUGUUUGAACUCAUUUAGCUGGGUUCUUUCUAGGCUGGCUUACAGGAAGGAUAACGUGAGCUGGUGAUACUGUUAAGAGAUUGAUUUGAACCGUGAACUUUACAGUUCAACUCGGAAAAUGAUUGUCGAGUACCUGUUAAGUGCCAGCCAUGAUUCUAAUUGCUUACGUAGAUGUGACAAUAAACAAAGAGAAAGUCCUACAUAGAGUGGGAAAACAGAACAGUAACCACAAUAAGUACAUUAUGUCAUUAUUGGAAGGUGGGAAGUGCAGUGUGGAAAAAUUAUGUGGUAGCAUAGAGUGAGAUUGAGCCUCAUCAUGAACCAGAUUUGAGCCAAAUAUGAUGGAGAUGAAUAUAUGAGCCAAGCAGAUAGCUGGGAGAAGGAGCCUUGUAGGUGAGUGAAGAGCAAUGCAAAGGGAACAGAAGGUGUCUAGAGUGGAUGUCUGAGGAAGCUGGGUUGUUACUGUGGAAUGAAUGUCACUCAGACUUCAUGACAGCAUGUAACAUAGGAAUAGACAUGGGGAGAGAACCUGCUGGAAGGCUGUGGAGGGACACAGAUGUGCACCAGAGGUAGUGUGGGCUAGGGUAGCAGUAGUAGAGAUGGUAAAAAGUAGAUGGACCCUGGAAAAAGUAGGUGGACCCUGGAUGUAUUUUGAAGGUAUAACCAAUAGGAUUUGCUGACAAA